UACGGAGGGUGCAAGCGUUAUCCGGAUUCACUGGGUUUAAAGGGUGCGUAGGUGGGCAGGUAAGUCAGUGGUGAAAUCUCCGGGCUUAACUCGGAAACUGCCAUUGAUACUAUCUGUCUUGAAUACCGUGGAGGUUAGCGGAAUAUGUCAUGUAGCGGUGAAAUGCUUAGAUAUGACAUAGAACACCAAUUGCGAAGGCAGCUGGCUACACAAAUAUUGACACUGAGGCACGAAAGCGUGGGGAUCAAACAGG
rnacentral:rRNA from 1 species